AACGAACGCUGGCGGCAUGCCUAACACAUGCAAGUCGAACGAGACCUUCGGGUCUAGUGGCGCACGGGUGCGUAACGCGUGGGAACCUGCCCUUAGGUUCGGAAUAACUCCCCGAAAGGGGUGCUAAUACCGGAUAAUGUCUUCGGACCAAAGAUUUAUCGCCUUUGGAUGGGCCCGCGUUGGAUUAGCUAGUUGGUAGGGUAAAAGCCUACCAAGGCGACGAUCCAUAGCUGGUCUGAGAGGAUGAUCAGCCACACUGGGACUGGGACACGGCCCAGACUCCUACGGGAGGCAGCAGUGGGGAAUAUUGGACAAUGGGCGAAAGCCUGAUCCAGCAAUGCCGCGUGAGUGAUGAAGGCCUUAGGGUUGUAAAGCUCUUUUAACCGGGAUGAUAAUGACAGUACCGGGAGAAUAAGCUCCGGCUAACUCCGUG
rnacentral:rRNA from 1 species